CACUCCUACGGGAGGCAGCAGUGGGGAAUUUUGGACAAUGGGCGAAAGCCUGAUCCAGCCAUGCCGCGUGCAGGAUGAAGGCCUUCGGGUUGUAAACUGCUUUUGUACGGAACGAAACGGCCUUUUCUAAUAAAGAGGGCUAAUGACGGUACCGUAAGAAUAAGCACCGGCUAACUACGUGCCAGCAGCCGCGGUAAUACGUAGGGUGCAAGCGUUAAUCGGAAUUACUGGGCGUAAAGCGUGCGCAGGCGGUUAUGUAAGACAGUUGUGAAAUCCCCGGGCUCAACCUGGGAACUGCAUCUGUGACUGCAUAGCUAGAGUACGGUAGAGGGGGAUGGAAUUCCGCGUGUAGCAGUGAAAUGCGUAGAUAUGCGGAGGAACACCGAUGGCGAAGGCAAUCCCCUGGACCUGUACUGACGCUCAUGCACGAAAGCGUGGGGAGCAAACAGGAUUAGAAACCCGAGUAGUCC
rnacentral:rRNA from 1 species